rnacentral:rRNA from 1 species
GAUGAACGCUGGCGGCGUGCCUAAUACAUGCAAGUCGAGCGAACAGACGAGGAGCUUGCUCCUCUGACGUUAGCGGCGGACGGGUGAGUAACACGUGGAUAACCUACCUAUAAGACUGGGAUAGCUUCGGGAAACCGGAGCUAAUACCGGAUAAUAUAUUGAACCGCAUGGUUCAAUAGUGAAAGACGGUUUUGCUGUCA